UCCGGUUUGUCACCGGCAGUCCCAUUAGAGUGCCCAACUUAAAUGUAGCAACUAAUGACAAGGGUUGCGCUCGUUGCGGGACUUAACCCAACAUCUCACGACACGAGUUGACGACAGCCAUGCAGCACCUGUGUUACGGCUCCCUUUCGGGCACAGCCCCGUUUCCGGGGCCUCCAGGACAUGUCAAGGGUAGGUAAGGUUUUUCGCGUUGCAUCGAAUUAAUCCACAUAAUCCACCGCUUGUGCGGGUCCCCGUCAAUUCCUUUGAGUUUUAACCUUGCGGCCGUACUCCCCAGGCGGUCGACUUAAUGCGUUAGCUGCGGCGCCGAGGGGGUCGAUACCCCCGACACCUAGUCGACAUCGUUUACGGCGUGGACUAC
rnacentral:misc_RNA from 1 species